CGGCUUAACAUAUGCAAGUCGAACGCCCCGCAAGGGGAGUGGCAGACGGGUGAGUAACGCGUGGGAACAUACCCUUUCCUGCGGAAUAGCUCCGGGAAACUGGAAUUAAUACCGCAUACGCCCUACGGGGGAAAGAUUUAUCGGGGAAGGAUUGGCCCGCGUUGGAUUAGCUAGUUGGUGGGGUAAAGGCCUACCAAGGCGACGAUCCAUAGCUGGUCUGAGAGGAUGAUCAGCCACAUUGGGACUGAGACACGGCCCAAACUCCUACGGGAGGCAGCAGUGGGGAAUAUUGGACAAUGGGCGCAAGCCUGAUCCAGCCAUGCCGCGUGAGUGAUGAAGGCCUUAGGGUUGUAAAGCUCUUUCACCGGAGAAGAUAAUGACGGUAUCCGGAGAAGAAGCCCCGGCUAACUUCGUGC
rnacentral:rRNA from 1 species